rnacentral:rRNA from 1 species
AUUGAACGCUGGCGGCAUGCCUUACACAUGCAAGUCGAACGGCAGCACGGGAGCUUGCUCCUGGUGGCGAGUGGCGAACGGGUGAGUAAUACAUCGGAACGUACCCAGUAGUGGGGGAUAACGCACCGAAAGGUGCGCUAAUACCGCAUACGACCUACGGGUGAAAGCGGGGGACCGUAAGGCUUCGCGCUAUUGGAGCGGCCGAUGUCUGAUUAGCUAGUUGGCGGGGUAAAAGCCCACCAAGGCGACGAUCAGUAGCUGGUCUGAGAGGACGAUCAGCAACAAUGGGAAUGAGACACGGCCCAGACUCCUACGGGAGGCAGCAGUGGGGAAUUUUGGACAAUGGGGGCAACCCUGAUCCAGCAAUGCCGCGUGUGCGAAGAAGGCCUUCGGGUUGUAAAGCACUUUUGUCAGGGAAGAAAUCUUUUAGGCUAAUACCCUUGGAAGGAUGACGGUACCUGAAGAAUAAGCACCGGCUAACUACGUGCCAGCCGCCGCGGUAA